AGCGAACGCUGGCGGCAUGCUUAACACAUGCAAGUCGCACGGGCAGGGGCAACCCUGUCAGUGGCGGACGGGUGAGUAACGCGUAGGUAUCUAUCCUUGGGUGGGGACGAACGGUUGGAAACGACUGCUAAUACCGCAUGAUAACUGAGGUUUAAAGGUACGCAAGUCGCCUGAGGAGGAGCCUGCGUACGAUUAGCUAGUUGGUGGGG
rnacentral:rRNA from 1 species